CUCCUACGGGAGGCAGCAGUGAGGAAUAUUGGUCAAUGGGCGGAAGCCUGAACCAGCCAAGUAGCGUGCAGGAAGACGGCCGUUAAGGUUGUAAACUGCUUUUAGUUGGGAACAAAGAUAGCGACGUGUCGCUAGUUGCGUGUACCAUCAGAAAAAGGACCGGCUAAUUCCGUGCCAGCAGCCGCGGUAGUACGGAAGGUCCGGGCGUUAUCCGGAUUUAUUGGGUUUAAAGGGAGCGUAGGCGGGCGAUUAAGUCAGCUGUGAAAGUUUGCGGCUCAACCGUAAAAUUGCAGUUGAAACUGGUUGUCUUGAGUGCACGCAGGGAUGUUGGAAUUCAUGGUGUAGCGGUGAAAUGCUUAGAUAUCAUGAAGAACUCCUAUGGCGAAGGCAUAUGUCCGGAGUGCAACUGACGCUGAGGCUCGAAAGUGCGGGUAUCGAACAGGAUUAGAUACCCUGGUAGUCCGCACAGUAAACGAUGAAUACUCGCAGUGUGCGAUAAACGGUAUGCUGCCAAGCGAAAGCGUUAAGUAUUCCACCUGGGGAGUACGCCGGCAACGGUGAAACUCAAAGGAAUUGACGGGGGCCCGCACAAGCGGAGGAACAUGUGGUUUAAUUCGAUGAUACGCGAGGAACCUUACCCGGGCUUGAAAUGAGCAGGAAGACAGGCGGAGAUGCUUGUUGUCUUCGGACCUGCUUGUAGGUGCUGCAUGGUUGUCGUCAGCUCGUGCCGUGAGGUGUCGGCUUAAGUGCCAUAACGAGCGCAACCCCUCUUCACGUUUGCCAUCGGGUCAUGCCGGGCACUCCGUGAACACUGCCAUCGUAAGAUGUGAGGAAGGUGGGGAUGACGUCAAAUCAGCACGGCCCUUACGUCCGGGGCUACACACGUGUUACAAUGGCCGGUACAGAGGGGUGCCACCGGGCGACCGGGCGCAGAUCCCUAAAAACCGGUCUCAGUUCGGACUGGAGUCUGCAACCCGACUCCACGAAGCUGGAUUCGCUAGUAAUCGCGCAUCAGCCAUGGCGCGGUGAAUACGUUCCCGGGUCUUGUACACACGC
rnacentral:rRNA from 1 species